rnacentral:rRNA from 1 species
AUUGAACGCUGGCGGCAGGCCUAACACAUGCAAGUCGAGCGAGCGGCGGACGGGUGAGUAAUGUAUGGGGAUCUGCACGAUGGAGGGGGAUAACUACUGGCAACUGUAGCUAAUACCGCGUACCAUCGGAUGAGCCCAAGUGGGAUUAGUUAGUUGGUGAGGUAAAGGCUCACCAACCGACGAUCUCUAGCUGGUCUGCGAGGAUGACCAUCCCAACUGGGACUGAGAAACGGCCCAGACUCCUACGGGAGACAGCAGUAGGAAAUAUUGCGCAAUGGGGGCAAGCCGGACGCAGCCGUGCCGCGUGGAUGAAGAAGGCCUUAGGGUUGUAAAGUUCUUUCGGUAGCGAGGCUUUAACUACAGAGGAAGCACCGGCUAACUCCGUGCCAGCAGCCGCGGUAAUAC